CCUACGGGGGCUGCAGUGGGGAAUAUUGGACAAUGGGCGAAAGCCUGAUCCAGCCAUGCCGCGUGUGUGAAGAAGGCCUUCGGGUUGUAAAGCACUUUCAGUGGGGAAGAAAGCCUUGGGGCUAAUACCCUCGAGGAAGGACAUCACCCACAGAAGAAGCACCGGCUAACUCCGUGCCAGCAGCCGCGGUAAUACGGAGGGUGCGAGCGUUAAUCGGAAUUACUGGGCGUAAAGCGCGCGUAGGCGGUCUGAUAAGCCGGUUGUGAAAGCCCCGGGCUCAACCUGGGAACGGCAUCCGGAACUGUCAGGCUAGAGUGCAGGAGAGGAAGGUAGAAUUCCCGGUGUAGCAGUGAAAUGCGUAGAGAUCGGGAGGAAUACCAGUGGCGAAGGCGGCCUUCUGGACUGACACUGACGCUGAGGUGCGAAAGCGUGGGUAGCAAACAGGAUUAGAUACCCCUGUAGUC
rnacentral:rRNA from 1 species